rnacentral:rRNA from 1 species
UACGAAGGGGGCUAGCGUUGUUCGGAAUUACUGGGCGUAAAGCGCGUGUAGGCGGGUCUUUAAGUCAGGGGUGAAAUGCCAAGGCUCAACCUUGGAACUGCCUUUGAUACUGGAGACCUUGAGUCCGGGAGAGGUGAGUGGAAUUGCGAGUGUAGGGGUGAAAUUCGUAGAUAUUCGCAAGAACACCAGUGGCGAAGGCGGCUCACUGGCCCGGAACUGACGCUGAGAUGCGAAAGCGUGGGGAGCAAACAGG